AGUGAACGCUGGCGGUAGGCCUAACACAUGCAAGUCGAACGGAAAGACAGUAAGAGCUUGCUCUUACGGGUGGCGAGUGGCGGGCGGGUGAGGAAUACAUCGGAAUCUACUUUUUCGUGGGGGAUAACGUAGGGAAACUUACGCUAAUACCGCAUACGAUCUACGGGUGAAAGCAGGGGAUCUUCGCACCUUGCGCGAUUGAAUGAGCCGAUGUCGGAUUAGCUAGUUGGCGGGGUAAAGGCCCACCAAGGCGACGAUCCGUAGCUGGUCUGAGAGGAUGAUCGGCCACACUGGAACUGAGACACGGUCCAGACUCCUACGGGAGGCAGCAGUGGGGAAUAUUGGGCAAUGGGCGCAAGCCUGAUCCAGCCAUACCGCGUGGGUGAAGAAGGCCUUCGGGUUGUAAAGCCCUUUUGUUGGGAAAGAAAAGCAGCAGGUUAAUACCCCGCUGUUCUGACGGUACCCAAAGAAUAAGCACCGGCUAACUUCGUG
rnacentral:rRNA from 1 species